GGCCAAGCCCGGACCAGCGUCGGAACCUUCCUGUGGAAAGCUCAGCUGCGCGGCGUCUGAGGGCUUCGUGCCCAAAGUGCUAUGCUUCGGCCGGCAAAAAACUGUCAACUCAGAACUGGCACGGACCGGGGGAAUCCGACUGUCUAAUUAAAACAAAGCAUUGCGAUGGCCGCUGGUCGGUGUUGACGCAAUGUGAUUUCUGCCCAGUGCUCUGAAUGUCAACGUGAAGAGAUUCAUCAAAGCGCGGGUAAACGGCGGGAGUAACUAGGACAGAGCGGCAGCAUGGCAAGUGCUUUGAACAGCAUAGAAUUGUAUAAUUUGCGCUGAACGAACUGUUUUACGCUCGGAAGCACGUUUGUUUUGAUCGGCCCCGGAGGCAGUGCAAUACCGCGACUAAAGCGGCUAAGGUGAGGUAAAUUGAUUUCUGCUAAAAAUUCGCUGUAAUAGGCCGUUCGCGGGCGAAACUUCAGCUAAUUGGUAUUCUAAGUGCAGCAGCUGCCUCCCUGCUAAUUUUUACAGCGCGUAGUUACCAAUAUUUGGCCAAAUUAACUGUUUUUUUGCGAAACACCACGUGUUUCAGCUUAAAAUUCGCUGUAAUAGGCCGUUCGCGGGCGAAACUCCAGCUAAUUGGUAUUCUAAGGGAAGCAGUUGCCUCCCUGCUAAUUUUUCCAGCGCGUAGAUACCAAUAUUUGGCCAAAUUAACUGUUUUUUGCGAAAAAACCACGUGUUGAGGGUUGGUUGCCAGACUUUCGUGUCUGCACAGCAGUUCUGGUAAGAGGGGUAGCCAGACUUUCGUGCCAAGCGCACUAAAACGGCGCUGUAGGCCGAUCCCGGCGCAGUGAAGGCUUCCCCUUCAACACAGGGCAUCAGGGGACGAAGCCGCAGCAU
rnacentral:ncRNA from 1 species